rnacentral:rRNA from 1 species
GACGAAGGGGGCUAGCGUUGUUCGGAAUUACUGGGCGUAAAGCGCGUGUAGGCGGUUGUUCAAGUCAGGUGUGAAAGCCUUGAGCUCAACUCAAGAAAUGCACUUGAUACUGGAUGACUAGAGGACCGGAGAGGAUAGUGGAAUUCCCAGUGUAGUGGUGAAAUACGUAGAGAUUGGGAAGAACACCAGUGGCGAAGGCGGCUAUCUGGACGGUUUCUGACGCUGAGGAGCGAAAGCGUGGGGAGCAAACAGG